rnacentral:rRNA from 1 species
AUUGAACGCUGGCGGCAGGCCUAACACAUGCAAGUCGAGCGAGCGGCGGACGGGGGAGUAAUGUCUGGGAAACUGCCUGAUGGAGGGGGAUAACUACUGGAAACGGUAGCUAAUACCGCAUACCAUCAGAUGUGCCAAGGUGGGAUUAGCUAGUAGGUGGGGUAAUGUCUCACCUAGGCGACGAUCCCUAGCUGGUCUGAGAGGAUGACCAGCCACACUGGAACUGAGACACGGUCCAGACUCCUACGGGAGGCAGCAGUGGGGAAGAUUGCACAAUGGGCGCAAGCCUGAUUCAGCCUUGCCGCGUGUGUGAAGAAGGCCUUCGGGUUGUAAAGCACUUUCAGCGGGGAGGCGUUACCCGCAGAAGAAGCAACGGCUAACUCCGUGCCAGCAGCCGCGGUAAUAC